GGAGAGAUGUCCGAGUUGGCCGAAGGAGCGCGACUGGAAAUCGCGCAGGCGGGCUAAAACCUGCCUCGGGGGUUCGAAUCCCCCUCUCUCCG
rnacentral:tRNA from 1 species